rnacentral:rRNA from 1 species
UACGGGAGGCAGCAGUAGGGAAUUUUCGGCAAUGGGCGCAAGANUGACCGAGCAACGCCGCGUGAACGAUGAAGGUCUUUGGAUUGUAAAGUUCUGUUGUGAGGGAAGAAUAACUGGUAUAGGAAAUGAUAUCAGUCUGACGNUACCUCGCCAGAAAGCCACGGCUAACUACGUGCCAGCAGCCGCGGUAAU